rnacentral:sRNA from 1 species
GCAAGGCAUGGUGGAUCAUGCCUGUAAUCCCAGCAGCUUGGAGGCUGAGGCAGGAGGAUUGCGAGUUCAAAGCCAACUUAGCAAAGGCGAGGUGCUAAGCACCUCAGUGAGACCUUGUCUCUA